rnacentral:rRNA from 2 species
CGUUAAGUUGCAGGGUAUAGACCCGAAACCCGGUGAUCUAGCCAUGGGCAGGUUGAAGGUUGGGUAACACUAACUGGAGGACCGAACCGACUAAUGUUGAAAAAUUAGCGGAUGACCUGUGGCUGGGGGUGAAAGGCCAAUCAAACCGGGAGAUAGCUGGUUCUCCCCGAAAGCUAUUUAGGUAGCGCCUCGUGAAUUCAUCUCCGGGGGUAGAGCACUGUUUCGGCUAGGGGGCCAUCCCGGCUUACCAACCCGAUGCAAACUGCGAAUACCGGAGAAUGUUAUCACGGGAGACACACGGCGGGUGCUAACGUCCGUCGUGAAGAGGGAAACAACCCAGACCGCCAGCUAAGGUCCCAAAGUCAUGGUUAAGUGGGAAACGAUGUGGGAAGGCCCAGACAGCCAGGAUGUUGGCUUAGAAGCAGCCAUCAUUUAAAGAAAGCGUAAUAGCUCACUGGUCGAGUCGGCCUGCGCGGAAGAUGUAACGGGGCUAAACCAUG